UACAGAGGGUGCAAGCGUUGUUCGGAAUUACUGGGCGUAAAGGGCGCGUAGGCGGCCCACCAAGUCAGACGUGAAAGCCUGAGGCUCAACCUCAGAAGUGCGUUUGAAACUGGUAGGCUAGAGUGCAGUAGAGAAUGGCGGAAUUCCCAGUGGAGAGGUGAAAUUCGUAGAUAUUGGGAGGAACACCGGUGGCGAAGGCGGCCAUUUGGGCUGUAACUGACGCUGAGGCGCGAAAGCGUGGGUAGCAAACAGGAUUAGAUACCCUGGUAGUCCACGCUGUAAACUAUGGAUACUCGCUGUGGCUGGUAUUGACCCCGGCCGUAGCCAAGUUAACACGUUAAGUAUCCCGCCUGGGGAGUACGGUCGCAAGAUUAAA
rnacentral:rRNA from 1 species